AAAAGCAAUUCAAUCAAAGAUGGCUUCCCCCAAAUGGACAGAAGUGCUUCUAAAUAUAGCAUCUCAGAAGUGUUCUUCAGGCAUUCCUCUGGUUGGUAACUUAAGAACGAGGCUCCUUGCUCUUCAUGUCCUUGAGGCUGUGCUACCUGCUUGUGAAUCUGGUGUAGAGGAUGACCAAAUGGCCCAGGUUGUUGAACGCUUAUUUUCCCUUCUGUCGGAUUGUAUGUGGGAGACUCCCAUUGCUCAGGCCAAACAUGCUAUUCAAAUAAAGGAAAAAGAACAAGAAAUAAAAUUGCAGAAGCAAGGAGAGUUGGAGGAAGAGGAUGAAAAUCUCCCCAUACAAGAAGUCUCUUUUGAUCCAGAGAAG
rnacentral:lncRNA from 1 species